rnacentral:lncRNA from 1 species
GCGAAUUGAUGGGCACGAGGUGGCGGACGGGUCUGAGAGUGGAGGCUGCGACUGCAACAAAUGCAACUGCGGUAGCAGCUGCAGCUGUGCUUGCUGCGGCUGUAACUGAGGCUUUCAAGAGCCAAUGGAGGCCAUGCUCUACUUCUUAAGUGACAUUUAAUAUCAUAUGUGAGAGGGCAUGGCCAAAUCUAAAUAAGAGGAGUAUAAGCAGAGCUGUAUCGACUUUUAUCAUGAAUGCUAUUUCUCCUUAAGUAGCACUAAA